CUAACUACGUGCCAGCAGCCGCGGUAAUACGUAGGGGGCUAGCGUUAUCCGGAUUUACUGGGCGUAAAGGGUGCGUAGGCGGUCUUUCAAGUCAGGAGUGAAAGGCUACGGCUCAACCGUAGUAAGCUCUUGCAACUGGGAGACUUGAGUGCAGGAGAGGAGAGUGGAAUUCCUAGUGUAGCGGUGAAAUGCGUAGAUAUUAGGAGGAACACCAGGUGCGAAGGCGGCGCUCUGGACUGUAACUGACGCUGCGGCCGAA
rnacentral:rRNA from 1 species